rnacentral:tRNA from 1 species
GGAGGCUCAGUGGUAGAGCUCUUGCCUUGUGUGCAUGAGGCCCUGGGUUAAAUUUCUCAGCUCCA